UUUUAGACACUGAUUUGUUAGAUGAUAAUGCUAGAGGUCAAGGUAUACUACUCUCACGCCUAAAGUCAUAUUAUAAUAGUUUAUAUUUAGAUGAGCAUUCUACCGAAGAUGCUCGAAUAAUCAAAACUAGAUGUUACAUUAUGUUGUUACUAGGAUCCUUUUUAUUUCCCGAAGGUAGUGGUUCUAGCAUGCAUAUUAUGUACUUACCUUUACUUAGACAUAUAGAUAGAAUAGGUAGUUACAGUUGGGGAUCCGCAUGUCUAGCCUAUCUCUAUAGUUCGUUGUGCAAAAACUCCCACAAAGACACAUCGACAUUUUCUGGAUGUGCUGUUUUGCUACAAGCAUGAGGAUGGUCAAGACUACCGUCUCUAGCACCGGUCAAUAACAACCCCUUCACUUUUCCAUAUGCAAAAAAAUGGUCGGCACGUGGUAUGAAUUACAGCAGAUGUCCGAGACACUGUAUUACUCAGUAUCGCAACCUGUUGGAUCACCUUCGACCGACAGACUUCAUUUGGCGUCCAUACCUUAAUAUGGAUCAUGAGCAUCAGGUCAACCCUGAAGACGCAGCCGUAUGGACAGCAUGCACACCGAUAAUACG